CAGUAGCAGCUUUUAGGAGCACGCAGUCAGGUCCAGGCUAGUUGGAGCUGCGGUUCCUUCCACCCACACUCACAAGUCUCCCCAUGUUAUCUUAUAUUUCUUCUCAGAAAGACAUGUAUGAAUUCAGAGCCUGGGUGUCCUUUGAAGUUAUAUCAGGCUCUUUCCUUGAUGUGAUUGGAUUAAAACUGAAACAAAUAAACAACAAAAAUCCCCAAACCACCCUAGAACAAAGUGAACAGAAAUACUCUGCGUCACGAGCCAGCGACUGCUUUGCUGUGGGGCUCCAUCCUUGUCUGCAUUCGUUGGAUGCCAAAGGUAGUUUGGGGAGCUAAGGUGCAGCCUGUAAAACGGUAUUUCAAUUACACUAUGGAUUUGCUUUCUGAAAUUGAUAAUUCUGUUUCCAAAAGGGCACAGUUCUUGCAUGCUGCAGUACACCCACAUUUAUGAAUUCCUUUCAGAUGUCUGAGCACGGGGUUGCUACGUUCAAAGUCAGAGCUCUUUGGAUGUUCCCUCGUUCCUGCAGUCUGUUGUUAUGUCUGUGUGCAUAAAAUCUCCCUGCUUCAAAUUCGUGUGCGCUGUUGGAUGGUUGAAUUUGUUCUGAACACGUUUCGUAGCCGACCUUAUGUCCUUGUGGGUUUGAACAAGGCACAUCAGUGCUGUCAGGGGGAAUGUGGGUUUCAGAAGCUGCUCUAGUCCAUGUUCCCAAAGAAAGGGGGGGGCACGUGUUUUCUGUAGAAACAGAACCUAUUUGGGGCUUGGAAAUAUGAAAUCUACUUUUCAUCCUCAAAUUUCCAAUUUCUCCUUAAAUAAAUUGGGCUUGGGGGGAGUUUUAGCACAUUCUUGGCACUUACUGAAAGUAAUCUCUGAAACUGGCUUGGAGGCCAAUGUCUGAACCUGCACAUUUGAAUAUUGGCAAACUUGACAAUCUGAGAUUUGCAGCAGUUAUAUCCAAGUGCUGUGAAUCGUUUGUGAAAUGUGGAGGCUUUCUGAAUAAUGAAGCUGCCCUCAUCUGCGGAUGAACAGCUUCUGUUUGCUAAUGUUUGUGUAUAUGUGCAUCAUACCACGAGGCAAUGCUAACAGGUAGUGCGUUAGAUCACAGCAAUGGCAGGAAGUGGUUAUUGUUAAUAUUUCUGGAGAUGAUCUUUAUUUA